CAGCCCUAAACGAUGCGCGUUAGGUGUAUCGGUGACCACGAGUCACCGAGGUGCCGAAGGGAAACCGUGAAACGUGCCGCCUGGGAAGUACGGUCGCAAGGCUAGAAACUUAAAGGAAUUGGCGGGGGAGCACCACAAGAGGUGGAGGCUGCGGUUCAAUUGGACUCAACGCCGGAAACUCAUCGGGAGCGACAGCAGUAUGAUUGCCAGGUUGAUGACCUUACUAGAUUUUCAGAGAGGUGGUGCAUGGCGUCAGUGACU
rnacentral:rRNA from 1 species